GACGAACGCUGGCGGCGUGCUUAACACAUGCAAGUCGAACGGAAAGGCCCUGCUUUUGUGGGGUGCUCGAGUGGCGAACGGGUGAGUAACACGUGAGUAACCUUCCCUUUACUUUGGGAUAACUUCAGGAAACUGGGGCUAAUACCGGAUAGGAGCUCCUGCUGCAUGGUGGGGGUUGGAAAGUUUCGGCGGUUGGGGAUGGACUCGCGGCUUAUCAGCUUGUUGGUGGGGUAGUGGCUUACCAAGGCUUUGACGGGUAGCCGGCCUGAGAGGGUGACCGGCCACAUUGGGACUGAGAUACGGCCCAGACUCCUACGGGAGGCAGCAGUGGGGAAUAUUGCACAAUGGGCGGAAGCCUGAUGCAGCAACGCCGCGUGCGGGAUGACGGCCUUAGGGUUGUAAACCGCUUUCGCCUGUGACGAAGCGUGAGUGACGGUAAUGGGUAAAGAAGCACCGGCUAACUACGUG
rnacentral:rRNA from 1 species